GCAGUGGUGGUUCAGUGGCAGAAUUCUUGCUUUCUAUUCUGGAGUCCCAGAUUAGACCCCUGGCCAAUGCA
rnacentral:tRNA from 1 species